ACCGAAGUUGUCGCCGCCGCCGCCACUGCCUGGGUCUCCGGCCGCCCGCGCGCUGGCUCGGUCGGGGCCCGCAGCCAUGGAGGAUUUCAUCGUGAUCUCGGACGACAGCGGCUCUGAGAGCUCCGGGGGCGCCCGCCCGGGCCGGUCGCGGAGGCUGCGCCGGGCCCUGUCGCGAACCUCCGGCGCGCUGCCCCGCCGGACCGUGUUCAAGAACAAGCAGGGAAGGCAGAGCAAGAUGGCUGAAUAGAACCCUCCAGCAUUUGUCCCCCAAGCAAGAACACCAACUUGAACAACUAUCCACACAAGAAAGCACUUUCAGAAGAACUAAAACUCAGGACUUCAUUGACUUAACUAGAGAGACCAGACCAAGGACAAAAGAUCGCAGUGGACUGUAUGUGAUUGACCUGACAAGAGCUGAGGGAGAAAAUAGACCUAUUGCCACUCUUGACUUAACUUUAGAACCUGUCACUCCUUCCCAGAA
rnacentral:sRNA from 1 species